rnacentral:rRNA from 1 species
UACGUAGGGUGCAAGCGUUGUCCGGAAUUAUUGGGCGUAAAGAGCUCGUAGGCGGUCUGUCGCGUCGGAUGUGAAAGCCCGGGGCUUAACCCCGGGUCUGCAUUCGAUACGGGCAGACUAGAGUGUGGUAGGGGAGAUCGGAAUUCCUGGUGUAGCGGUGAAAUGCGCAGAUAUCAGGAGGAACACCGGUGGCGAAGGCGGAUCUCUGGGCCAUUACUGACGCUGAGGAGCGAAAGCAUGGGGAGCGAACAGG